CAGAAAGGGACGGCUAACUACGUGCCAGCAGCCGCGGUAAUACGUAGGUCCCGAGCGUUGUCCGGAUUUAUUGGGCGUAAAGCGAGCGCAGGUGGUUUAAUAAGUCUGAUGUAAAAGGCAGUGGCUCAACCAUUGUGUGCAUUGGAAACUGUUAGACUUGAGUGCAGUAGAGGAGAGUGGAAUUCCAUGUGUAGCGGUGAAAUGCGUAGAUAUAUGGAGGAACACCGGUGGCGAAAGCGGCUCUCUGGACUGUCACUGACACUGAGGCUCGAAAGCGUGGGUAGCAAACAGGAUUAGAUACCCUGGUAGUCCACGCCGUAAACGAUGAGUGCUAGUUGUUUGGGGCUAUCCAGCCCUAAGUGACGCAGCAAACGCAUUAAGCACUCCGCCUGGGGAGUACGACCGCAAGGUUGAAACUCAAAGGAAUUGACGGGGGCCCGCACAAGCGGUGGAGCAUGUGGUUUAAUUCGAAGCAACGCGAAGAACCUUACCAGGUCUUGACAUACUCGUGCUAUUCCUAGAGAUAGGAAGUUCCUUCGGGACACGGGAUACAGGUGGUGCAUGGUUGUCGUCAGCUCGUGUCGUGAGAUGUUGGGUUAAGUCCCGCAACGAGCGCAACCCCUAUUGUUAGUUGCCAUCAUUAAGUUGGGCACUCUAGCGAGACUGCCGGUAAUAAACCGGAGGAAGGUGGGGAUGACGUCAAAUCAUCAUGCCCCUUAUGACCUGGGCUACACACGUGCUACAAUGGUUGGUACAACGAGUCGCAAGGCAGUGAUGUCAAGCUAAUCUCUUAAAGCCAAUCUCAGUUCGGAUUGUAGGCUGCAACUCGCCUACAUGAAGUCGGAAUCGCUAGUAAUCGCGGAUCAGCACGCCGCGGUGAAUACGUUCCCGGGCCUU
rnacentral:rRNA from 1 species